rnacentral:rRNA from 1 species
ACGGAAGGCAGCAGUGGGGAAUAUUGCACAAUGGGGGAAACCCUGAUGCAGCGACGCCGCGUGAGUGAAGAAGUUAUUCGUAAUGUAAAGCUCUAUCAGCAGGGAAGAAAAUGACGGUACCUGACUAAGAAGCCCCGGCUAACUACGUGCCAGCAGCCGCGGUAAUACGUAGGGGGCAAGCGUUAUCCGGAUUUACUGGGUGUAAAGGGAGCGUAGACGGUCGUGCAAGUCUGAUGUGAAAGGCAGGGGCUCAACUCCUGGACUGCAUUGGAAACUGUAUGACUCGAGUGCCGGAGAGGUAAGCGGAAUUCCUAGUGUAGCGGUGAAAUGCGUAGAUAUUAGGAGGAACACCAGUGGCGAAGGCGGCUUACUGGACGGUAACUGACGUUGAGGCUCGAAAGCGUGGGGAGCAAACAGGAUUAGAUACCCUGGUA